GGGGRRUCGACCACCGUGUAGCCCCGGAACAUCGCCUCCUCGCGGUUGGCGAGAUCGACCCACACCGCCGGCAGGCCGAAGGUGGGCUCGUGGGUCUUUCGCCGGGCAAGGUGAUUCUGUCGUCAGCUCGUGUCGUGAGAUGUUGGGUUAAGUCCCGCAACGAGCGCAACCCUCAUUUUCAGUUGCCAGCACUUCGGGUGGGCACUCUGGAGAGACUGCCGGUGACAAGCCGGAGGAAGGUGGGGAUGACGUCAAGUCCUCAUGGCCCUUACGGGCUGGGCUACACACGUGCUACAAUGGCAUCUACAAUGGGUCGCCACCUCGCGAGAGGGCGCUAAUCUCCAAAAGAUGUCUCAGUUCGGAUUGCACUCUGCAACUCGGGUGCAUGAAGUCGGAAUCGCUAGUAAUCGUGGAUCAGCAUGCCACGGUGAAUACGUUCCCGGGCCUU
rnacentral:ncRNA from 1 species